rnacentral:rRNA from 1 species
CCUACGGGUGGCAGCAGUGGGGAAUAUUGCACAAUGGGCGCAAGCCUGAUGCAGCGACGCCGCGUGCGGGAUGGAGGCCUUCGGGUUGUAAACCGCUUUUGUUCAAGGGCAAGGCACGGUCUUUGGCCGUGUUGAGUGGAUUGUUCGAAUAAGCACCGGCUAACUACGUGCCAGCAGCCGCGGUAAUACGUAGGGUGCAAGCGUUAUCCGGAUUUAUUGGGUUUAAAGGGUGCGCAGGCGGCCUGUUAAGUCAGCGGUAAAAGCCCGGGGCUCAACCCCGGCGAGCCGUUGAAACUGGCGGGCUGGAGUUGGAGAGAAGUACGCGGAAUGCGCGGUGUAGCGGUGAAAUGCUUAGAUAUCGCGCAGAACCCCGAUUGCGAAGGCAGCGUACCGGCUCCACACUGACGCUGAGGCACGAAAGCGUGGGUAUCGAACAGGAUUAGAUACCCGGGUAGUC